rnacentral:lncRNA from 1 species
AUAUGAUGACUUCUCUUUAAAUCACCAUUCAAUAGCCUUUUAAGUAUAUUGAUUUGAAGCAUUUUAUCAAUGCUAUUAGCAUCAGUGGUAGUAACGAUCAUUGAUUAUGUACGUAACAUUUGCUACCAUAAGCACUAAAGUUUUUCUAUUUAUUAUCUCUAAUUCAUACAAGAAUGUUCAAGAUGAGAAAUGUUUUUCUUAUUUUAAAUAUUUAAAAAAUAAGGCUCAGAUUAAUUAAGUAACUUGGUUAAAGGCACGCAGUAAAUGUUGGAUUUGUAUUGUGAAUGCAGGUUAACCUGUUCCAAUGAAAUAAAUUUUUUUCCUAUUUAGGAGCUCUUUUACAAACAUAGUUAACUGAUUUUUGGAAGAAAAUCUCUGAGAAUAGUUUAAAUAUGUAUGAACCUUAAUUAGUACAUAGUACCUAGUAGUACCAUUGGGAAAGUAAGGGUUUCUUUUUUACAUAACAGGACAAGAAAAUUAUUGUCAUAGAAAAAAACCAAGCACUGGGUUUUAUAACUUAUCUAUGUAAUUCUUCCUCUUUUUCUGCCUGCUUUGUGAAGAAAAUGACAUAAGCAAAUGUGCUCACACACACAUAAGCACAGCUUUUUCCAAGAUAGAGAUUCUGUCCUCUUGUUCUAAUUUGGAAUAUUAUAAAAAUUAAACCAGAACCUUUGUUCUAAUUUGGGAUAUUACAACAAUUAAACCAGAGAAACAUAGCUGAACAUAAAACUGAAACAGAAGUGAAGAUCACGCUGUCUGUUACAUAAACUUCACUUUCAAUCCCAGAUCAAUGCAUUGAGAGAGAGAGUCAAAUAUUUAUCUCAGAAAAAUGCCAGAGGAGGAAAGGAAGGAGCUGGAAGGGUGAUGUCCACACAUCUUGCCAUGGCACCUCUGCCUGUUAGAAGACCUUUGGGUUUCACCAUUUUUUUCUUUUCAUCCUAGCUCAUUCUCUUCAGCACAAAUGGUUGGGUCAUACAAAGAAGCUACACAAGUAAGAAGGGACAUGAGGGAGUUCCUUGAUUAUUCAUGUCUCUCAGAACAUUAUUAGUUGCCUUUUAUAUGCAGACAAAGUAGUAGGUAUGGUGCAGGUGUAUUGAGGAGGAGUGGGGGUUGUAGGUGUGGAGGUGGCUGGUGUGGUACAGGUGUACUGAAGAGCUGUGGUGGUAGCAGGUGUGGUGCAGGUGUUUUGA